rnacentral:rRNA from 1 species
AGAGUUUGAUCAUGGCUCAGAACGAACGCUGGCGGCAGGCCUAACACAUGCAAGUCGAGCGAGGUAGCAAUACCUAGCGGCGGACGGGUGAGUAACGCGUGGGAACGUGCCCUUUGCUUCGGAAUAGCCCCGGGAAACUGGGAGUAAUACCGAAUGUGCCCUUCGGGGGAAAGAUUUAUCGGCAAAGGAUCGGCCCGCGUUGGAUUAGGUAGUUGGUGGGGUAAUGGCCUACCAAGCCGACGAUCCAUAGCUGGUUUGAGAGGAUGAUCAGCCACACUGGGACUGAGACACGGCCCAGACUCCUACGGGAGGCAGCAGUGGGGAAUCUUAGACAAUGGGCGCAAGCCUGAUCUAGCCAUGCCGCGUGAUCGAUGAAGGCCUUAGGGUUGUAAAGAUCUUUCAGAUGGGAAGAUAAUGACUGUACCAUCAGAAGAAGCCCCGGCUAACUCCGUG